rnacentral:rRNA from 1 species
GGUUAAGCGACUAAGCGUACACGGUGGAUGCCCUGGCAGUCAGAGGCGAUGAAGGACGUGCUAAUCUGCGAUAAGCGUCGGUAAGGUGAUAUGAACCGUUAUAACCGGCGAUUUCCGAAUGGGGAAACCCAGUGUGUUUCGACACACUAUCAUUAACUGAAUCCAUAGGUUAAUGAGGCGAACCGGGGGAACUGAAACAUCUAAGUACCCCGAGGAAAAGAAAUCAACCGAGAUUCCCCCAGUAGCGGCGAGCGAACGGGGAGGAGCCCAGAGCCUGAAUCAGUGUGUGUGUUAGUGGAAGCGUCUGGAAAGGCGCGCGAUACAGGGUGACAGCCCCGUACACAAAAAUGCACAUGCUGUGAGCUCGAUGAGUAGGGCGGGACACGUGGUAUCCUGUCUGAAUAUGGGGGGACCAUCCUCCAAGGCUAAAUACUCCUGACUGACCGAUAGUGAACCAGUACCGUGAGGGAAAGGCGAAAAGAACCCCGGCGAGGGGAGUGAAAAAGAACCUGAAACCGUGUACGUACAAGCAGUGGGAGCCUCUUAAUGGGGUGACUGCGUACCUUUUGUAUAAUGGGUCAGCGACUUAUAUUCUGUAGCAAGGUUAACCGAAUAGGGGAGCCGAAGGGAAACCGAGUCUUAACUGGGCGUUAAGUUGCAGGGUAUAGACCCGAAACCCGGUGAUCUAGCCAUGGGCAGGUUGAAGGUUGGGUAACACUAACUGGAGGACCGAACCGACUAAUGUUGAAAAAUUAGCGGAUGACUUGUGGCUGGGGGUGAAAGGCCAAUCAAACCGGGAGAUAGCUGGUUCUCCCCGAAAGCUAUUUAGGUAGCGCCUCGUGAAUUCAUCUCCGGGGGUAGAGCACUGUUUCGGCAAGGGGGUCAUCCCGACUUACCAACCCGAUGCAAACUGCGAAUACCGGAGAAUGUUAUCACGGGAGACACACGGCGGGUGCUAACGUCCGUCGUGAAGAGGGAAACAACCCAGACCGCCAGCUAAGGUCCCAAAGUCAUGGUUAAGUGGGAAACGAUGUGGGAAGGCCCAGACAGCCAGGAUGUUGGCUUAGAAGCAGCCAUCAUUUAAAGAAAGCGUAAUAGCUCACUGGUCGAGUCGGCCUGCGCGGAAGAUGUAACGGGGCUAAACCAUGCACCGAAGCUGCGGCAGCGACGUUUAUGCGUUGUUGGGUAGGGGAGCGUUCUGUAAGCCUGCGAAGGUGUACUGUGAGGUAUGCUGGAGGUAUCAGAAGUGCGAAUGCUGACAUAAGUAACGAUAAAGCGGGUGAAAAGCCCGCUCGCCGGAAGACCAAGGGUUCCUGUCCAACGUUAAUCGGGGCAGGGUGAGUCGACCCCUAAGGCGAGGCCGAAAGGCGUAGUCGAUGGGAAACAGGUUAAUAUUCCUGUACUUGGUGUUACUGCGAAGGGGGGACGGAGAAGGCUAUGUUGGCCGGGCGACGGUUGUCCCGGUUUAAGCGUGUAGGCUGGUUUUCCAGGCAAAUCCGGAAAACUAAGGCUGAGGCGUGAUGACGAGGCACUACGGUGCUGAAGCAACAAAUGCCCUGCUUCCAGGAAAAGCCUCUAAGCAUCAGGUAACAUCAAAUCGUACCCCAAACCGACACAGGUGGUCAGGUAGAGAAUACCAAGGCGCUUGAGAGAACUCGGGUGAAGGAACUAGGCAAAAUGGUGCCGUAACUUCGGGAGAAGGCACGCUGAUAUGUAGGUGAAGCGACUUGCUCGUGGAGCUGAAAUCAGUCGAAGAUACCAGCUGGCUGCAACUGUUUAUUAAAAACACAGCACUGUGCAAACACGAAAGUGGACGUAUACGGUGUGACGCCUGCCCGGUGCCGGAAGGUUAAUUGAUGGGGUUAGCGGUAACGCGAAGCUCCUGAUCGAAGCCCCGGUAAACGGCGGCCGUAACUAUAACGGUCCUAAGGUAGCGAAAUUCCUUGUCGGGUAAGUUCCGACCUGCACGAAUGGCGUAAUGAUGGCCAGGCUGUCUCCACCCGAGACUCAGUGAAAUUGAACUCGCUGUGAAGAUGCAGUGUACCCGCGGCAAGACGGAAAGACCCCGUGAACCUUUACUAUAGCUUGACACUGAACAUUGAGCCUUGAUGUGUAGGAUAGGUGGGAGGCUUUGAAGUGUGGACGCCAGUCUGCAUGGAGCCGGCCUUGAAAUACCACCCUUUAAUGUUUGAUGUUCUAACGUUGGCCCCUGAUCGGGGUUGCGGACAGUGUCUGGUGGGUAGUUUGACUGGGGCGGUCUCCUCCUAAAGAGUAACGGAGGAGCACGAAGGUUGGCUAAUCCUGGUCGGACAUCAGGAGGUUAGUGCAAUGGCAUAAGCCAGCUUGACUGCGAGCGUGACGGCGCGAGCAGGUGCGAAAGCAGGUCAUAGUGAUCCGGUGGUUCUGAAUGGAAGGGCCAUCGCUCAACGGAUAAAAGGUACUCCGGGGAUAACAGGCUGAUACCGCCCAAGAGUUCAUAUCGACGGCGGUGUUUGGCACCUCGAUGUCGGCUCAUCACAUCCUGGGGCUGAAGUAGGUCCCAAGGGUAUGGCUGUUCGCCAUUUAAAGUGGUACGCGAGCUGGGUUUAGAACGUCGUGAGACAGUUCGGUCCCUAUCUGCCGUGGGCGCUGGAGAACUGAGGGGGGCUGCUCCUAGUACGAGAGGACCGGAGUGGACGCAUCACUGGUGUUCGGGUUGUCAUGCCAAUGGCACUGCCCGGUAGCUAAAUGCGGAAGAGAUAAGUGCUGAAAGCAUCUAAGCACGAAACUUGCCCCGAGAUGAGUUCUCCCUGACUCUUUAAGGGUCCUGAAGGAACGUUGAAGACGACGACGUUGAUAGGCCGGGUGUGUAAGCGCAGCGAUGCGUUGAGCUAACCGGUACUAAUGAACCGUGAGGCUUAACCUU